CUCGAGGGCCAGGCAUGCUGCCAACUGCCCAGUCAAGGAGGGAUAGAGGUCAUGAAGACUAUGAUAGGAGGAAGUAACAACCCCGGAAGAGAGUAGUGACCCCCGGAGUGCUCCUGGCACAGGCACGCUCCAGUCCAUCAUCAUGCUGCAGAAGUGCAGACGUGAAAAUUUGGAAAUCCCUCCUUCUGGCGUGUGAUGGCCACAUACAUCAGAAUGAGACUGCAAACUCCCCAGAUAAAAUGCCUGAACCUGUGUGCUGGGACGAGGCACUCAGAACACUGAGGACCACGUUGCCUCUGCGGCGAUGCCCGCUAAGUGUUUUGCCUGCCGAACCUCACCAUGACCAGACUUGGAGCUGGACUCCUUGCCUUCCAAACACUUCUUCUGGGAUUGGUCACUCUGCUGUUCUCUGCUUUGAUAUUCUUCAGCACAUCUCCACAAGCAGUUUUAAGCUGGGUGGACCAGCAAAGAAAGCAAAAGAUCAGAGCAAAACCAAUCUGCAGCUGACUCUAGAAGGUUUUGGAGGAUUUUUCAAGGGUCCUCCAAAACAUUUUAAAAGACCUUGCUCUUUCAGUGAAUAUCCAAAUUACAGAAGUCAUGAAGUUAUGAUAAUGCACUGACUUCCUUCAUAUGAAAUGUAGGGGCUUUUUGACCUUUAACAGC
rnacentral:lncRNA from 1 species